UUUUUCCUGCAGUGUUCGACCAUUACCCAUCAAAUACAGGCCCGGACCGUUGAUACGUUAUUGGGGGCUUAGCAAAUCGUCGGCUGUCAGGCCUUCGCUGGAAGGCAAAAGUCGAUGAGCGGCUCCCUCCCUGUUGAGUGACGGGAACGUGAGCCUCUAGAUCGGGAGACGGCACAGGUGGGAAAUAC
rnacentral:other from 1 species